rnacentral:rRNA from 1 species
CUACGGAGGGGGCAAGCGUUGUUCGGAAUUACUGGGCGUAAAGAGUACGUAGGCGGAUCGUUAAGUUAGAGGUGAAAUCCCAGGGCUCAACCCUGGAACUGCCUUUAAUACUGGCGAUCUAGAGAUCGAGAGAGGUGAGUGGAAUUUCCAGUGUAGAGGUGAAAUUCGUAGAUAUUCGAAAGAACACCAGUGGCGAAGGCGGCUCACUGGCUCGAUACUGACGCUCAGGUACGAAAGCUUGGGGAGCAAACAGGAUUAGAAACCCUAGUAGUCC